UACGAGGGGGGCAAGCGUUGUUCGGAAUUAUUGGGCGUAAAGGGUGCGUAGGCGGCGCGGUAAGUCGGGUGUGAAAUCUCGGAGCUUAACUCCGAAACUGCAUUCGAUACUGCCGUGCUUGAGGACUGGAGAGGAGACUGGAAUUUACGGUGUAGCGGUGAAAUGCGUAGAGAUCAUGAGGAAGACCAGUGGCGAAGGCGGGUCUCUGGACAGUUCCUGACGCUGAGGCACGAAGGCCAGGGGAGCAAACGGG
rnacentral:rRNA from 1 species